UAACCCUACGGGGCGCAGCAGUGAGGAAUAUUGGUCAAUGGGCGGGAGCCUGAACCAGCCAAGUCGUGUGAGGGAAGACGGUCCUAUGGAUUGUAAACCUCUUUAGGCGGGGAGCAAUGCCGGGCACGUGUGCCCGGAGGGAGAGUACCCGCAGAAUAAGCAUCGGCUAACUCCGUGCCAGCAGCCGCGGUAAGACGGAGGAUGCGAGCGUUAUCCGGAUUUAUUGGGUUUAGAGGGUGCGGAGGCGGAUUUUUAAGUCAGC
rnacentral:rRNA from 1 species